UACGUAGGGGGCAAGCGUUGUCCGGAAUCAUUGGGCGUAAAGAGCGCGUAGGCGGUCCGGUAAGUCCGCUCUGAAAGUCCGGGGCUCAACCCCGGGAGGCGGGCGGAUACUGUCGGGCUAGAGUCCGGAAGAGGCGAGUGGAAUUCCUGGUGUAGCGGUGAAAUGCGCAGAUAUCAGGAGGAACACCAAUGGCGAAGGCGGGUCUCUGGACAGUUCCUGACGCUGAGGCACGAAGGUCAGGGGAGCAAACGGG
rnacentral:rRNA from 1 species